rnacentral:RNase_P_RNA from 1 species
CGGGCCAAUCAGGUGACCGCGGUCUGCUAUAUGCAGGCUGAGGAAAGUCCGCGCUCCAUAGGGCAACGGUGCUAGCUAACGGCUAGGCGGGGUAACCCGACGGAAAGUGCCACAGAGAGCAGAGUGCGUAGGCAUCAAUACUGAUGUCAGGCGUGAGGGUGAAAGGGUGGUGUAAGAGACCACCAGCACUGGCAGUGAUGCUAGUGGCUCGGUAAACCCCACCGGGAGCAAGGCAAAAUAGGCGCAUUGGGGUGGCCCGCCCCGCAAAAAGCGCCGGGUAUGCCGCUAGAGGCGUCAGGUGACUGGCGUCCCAGAUAGAUGGUCACCACCCCAUCGGGGUACAGAACGCGGCUUAUAGAUUGACCCGGCCA